AUUGAACGCUGGCGGCAGGCCUAACACAUGCAAGUCGGGCGAGCCGCGGACGGGUGAGCUAUGUAUGUGGAUCUGCCUGAUGGAGGGGGUUAACUACUGGAAACGGUUGCUACUACCGCAUACCUUCAGAUGAACCCAUAUGGGAUUAGCUUGUAGGUGGGGUAACGGCUCACCAAGGCGACGAUCCCGACCUGGUCUGAGAGGAUGAUCAGCCACACUGGAACUGAGAAACGGCCCAGACUCCUACGGGAGGCAGCAGUGGGGAAUAUUGCACAAUGGGCGCAAGCCUGAUGCAGCCAUGCCGCGUGUGUGAAGAAGGCCUUCGGGUUGUAAAGUACUUUAAGUCGGGAGGCGUUACCAACAGAAGAAGCACCGGCUAACUCCGUGCCAGCAGCCGCGGUAAUAC
rnacentral:rRNA from 1 species